AAAAUCAGCAAGAUAUAGGGCCUACUUGUCACGACUCGGGGAGACACGGAGCGGGGAAACAGGAACUGGUGUCCAAAAUCAGGGAACGGAGGGUUUAUUUCCAAAACACAGGACAGCAAGGCACACGCAACGUUAAUGACGGAUCUGGGAAACGGACGAAGGCGUGAACUGAUAUACACAGAACAAUCCGGAAACCACAUCAAACAGCUGGGAACAAUCAGGGUAGGACACGUGGGUAAUGAGGGGGCGUGACACUAAUACAGGUGAAUAGGGAUCUCUUUUCCAAUUUGAUAUACAUUCUUACUAACCUUAAAAAAGAUAAUUAUGCACUUAUUAGUCAUAGAGAAUUUAAGAACAUAAAAUGUUCCCUGCAAUUCUGCACACGUAAUAAUAGGAUCUGUGUGAAGCAGGCGCAGCACGGCGAUAAACGGGAAGAGUAAAUCGUGAUUAAGGCCGCGUGUUAAUGAUUUAAGUAACGUAUCAUAAUUACAAUAUAUAUAAUUCAGAACGUGCGUUACGACAGAAUUCGUCGCCGUCGGAGCUUUUGCUUAGACCGGCUGCGCUGUUGGCGCAAAGCUGAUCGUUUCCUUCCGUGAAUGAAAGUGAAAGUAAUUUAAAGCUGGAGUCGCCAUUUUGUCAAGACGCAUGCAUACGAUGCAGGAGUAAUUUAAAGACAAUUUGUAUUUCAAGAGGAUCCAGCAGGAUCUGGUCUGGAUCGGCGCAGAAAUGGAGGGAGAUACUUCUGAAAUGGGUCUGUCAGUGAAGCAUAAGGAGAGAGCAGCUGCUUCUGAAUCGGGUCCCUCAGUGGGUAAAAAAAGGAGAACUGUGAGCUGACCUGCUGAAGACUGCAGUGGAUCAGGCAUUAAAGAGCAAGAAUGGACACUUGGACCUCUACCUGCGCUUCCUACUGGGCCUCUCAACAGACUCCAGUAAGACUCUGUUACAGAGGCUACUGGGACAGACAGGAACCAGCUCACAUGACAUUGGGGAAAAAAAAGUGACGUUUCCGUUCCCAUCCAGUCUGCCCCCCGAUCGUGGGCGCGGCAUCCUAACCUGCUACAGAAAUGGGGGGGGG